rnacentral:rRNA from 1 species
UCCCAGACUCCUACGGGAGGCAGCAGUGGGGGAUAUUGCACAAUGGGGGGAACCCUGAUGCAGCGACGCCGCGUGGGUGAAGGAGCGUUUCGGCGCGUAAAGCCCUAUCGGCAGGGAAGAAGGAGGACGGUACCUGACUAAGAAGCCCCGGCUAACUACGUGCCAGCAGCCGCGGUAAUACGUAGGGGGCAAGCGUUAUCCGGAUUCACUGGGUGUAAAGGGAGCGUAGACGGCGACGCAAGUCUGGAGUGAAAGCCCGGGGCCCAACCCCGGGACUGCUCUGGAAACUGCGGCGCUGGAGUACGGGAGGGGCAGGCGGAAUUCCUGGUGUAGCGGUGAAAUGCGUAGAUAUCAGGAGGAACACCAGUGGCGAAGGCGGCCUGCUGGACAUUAACUGACGCUGAGGCGCGAAAGCGUGGGGAGCAAACAGGAUUAGAUACCCCAGUAACG